rnacentral:lncRNA from 1 species
GGUUGCAUGAAGCAGCAAGCUUUUACCAACGUGCUUUGCUGGCAAAUGCUCUUACCAGUGCUCUGAGGCUGCAUCAAAGAUUACCACACUUCCAGUUAAGCAGAGCAUUCCUGGCCCAGGCUUUGUUAGAGGACAGCUGCCACUACCUGUUGUAUUCACUCAUCUUUGUAAAUUCCUAUCCAGUUACAAUGAGUAUCUUCCCAGUCUUGUUAUUCUCUUUGCUUCAUGCUGCCACAUAUACGAAAAAGGUCCUUGACGUAAGGGCUCAAAUAGUUUACCUCUGCUGAGAUCUGUCUUGGACAAAUUAAGUGCUAAUCAACAAAAUAUUCUGAAAUUCAUUGCUUGCAAUGAAAUAUUCCUGAUGCCUGCGACAGUUUUUAUGCUUUUUAGUGGUCAAGGAAGUUUGCUCCAACCUUUUAUAUACUAUAGAUUUCUUACCCUUCGAUAUUCGUCUCGAAGAAACCCAUAUUGUCGGACCUUAUUUAAUGAACUGAGGAUUGUUGUUGAACACAUAAUAAUGAAACCUGCUUGCCCACUGUUUGUGAGAAGACUUUGUCUCCAGAGCAUUGCCUUUAUAAGCAGAUUGGCACCAACAGUUCCAUAGUUUAACAUCUAGUUAAGCUACAAAUAUAGUAUAAGCAUUAUUAGCAGCUGGUACUUCUGCUAGGGGUUGUAAAUUCCAGGUGUUACACUGACCUCAAUCCAAUUUACAUAAUUUACAUAAAUGCAUCUCGGUGGAAAAAUAAUCAUUUUCUUGGCAUGUUAAAUCAAGCUUAAAAAGUUUUGAGAAAAUUUUACUGCGCUGUGUUGCUAAUGGUUAAAGAAGUCUGUAUCUAGUGAUAAAUAUACCAGUUUUUUU